UACCGAGGGGGCCAGCGUUAUUCGGAAUUAUUGGGCGUCAAGGGCGCGUAGGCGGCCUUGCGUGUCUUUCGUGAACUCCCUCGGCUUAACUGAGGACGUGCGGAAGAAACUGCAGGGCUUGAGUCCGGGAGAGGGGGGUGGAAUUCCCAGUGUAGCGGUGAAAUGCGUAGAUAUGGGGAGGAACGCCGGUGGCGAAGGCGGCCCCCUGGACCGGUACUGACGCUGAGGCGCGAAAGCGUGGGGAGCAAACAGG
rnacentral:rRNA from 1 species